AUUGAACGCUGGCGGCAUGCCUUACACAUGCAAGUCGAACGGCAGCACGGGGCAACCUGGUGGCGAGUGGCGAACGGGUGAGUAAUGCAUCGGAACGUGCCAUUGAGUGGGGGAUAACGUAGCGAAAGUUGCGCUAAUACCGCAUAUUCUGUGAGCAGGAAAGCAGGGGGACCGCAAGGCCUUGCGCUCUUUGAGCGGCCGAUGUCGGAUUAGCUAGUUGGUGGGGUAAAGGCCUACCAAGGCGACGAUCCGUAGCGGGUCUGAGAGGAUGAUCCGCCACACUGGGACUGAGACACGGCCCAGACUCCUACGGGAGGCAGCAGUGGGGAAUUUUGGACAAUGGGCGCAAGCCUGAUCCAGCCAUGCCGCGUGAGUGAAGAAGGCCUCGGUUGUAAG
rnacentral:rRNA from 1 species